CGCUCCUCACUUCCCCCCACUCACGAACCCUAGCUUCUUUGUGCCGCCGCCGCUCGGUCUAGAUUUGGAGCUGACGUGCUCGCCUCGCCUCAGUUGGUUCCGGAUUUGGCCACAUGCGCGCGUCCGUCGUCCGUCGUUUGCUCGGUCGUCGCCAUGGGAAAGGGAGGUGGAUAGGGUUUGGUGCGAGGGUUUGUUCCUUCUUCGGAUUUGACCGUGCUUGGUCCUGUUUUUUUGUUUCAGAUGCGGAUCUGAACCAUCCACAUAUGCGUUUAUUUUUGUUGAUUCUUUAACUGUUCGCUGUUGUCGUUGCAUGGUUGUCUGGUUUGGGUAUGUAAGAUUACAAUCAAACUGAACUAUGACAAUUUAUACAUCAUAGUUAGGUAUCAAAGUGAUUAUGUAUUCACGUGAAGACUAUGCAAGGCGAAUGGAUGUACAGUCGUUACAUAUGUUCAGGUUUAGGAGAUUUACCAUGACAGCUUGUGACAGAUGCAAAUCAUGGAUGCUAGCAAGUGUGAUUGGAUGACGGUUGUGAGGUUCGUCGCUGCAGUUGUUGUGGUGUUUCUAGCUGUUAUUCAUUCCCAUUGAAACGUUUCGCCUAGCUCUCAGGAUGUUUGUUGUGAGUUGUUCGUGUAUGCAUCUAUUGGAUGUGGUUGCCACCCGGUGUUCGUUGCCAUUCCAUUCGUACUUGAGAGAGAUAAUGGACGAUGGGGUCAUGCUCGGAGGAGUUGAGCUCGAAUUUGAUGUGCCCGGAAGCGAUUCCGGGAGCAUGAGGAGGUUUUUUUGGGCUCAAGAUGGUGUGGAUUUUUUCUCUCUUUACGAGAAGGCUGCUUUCCAGGCCAUUUGCUUCUUACAGAAUUUGUAUGGGUUUGUGAUUCUGGACUAUAAUUUUGAGUGUAUGUCGACUUACAGGGAGCUUGCUCGCUCUGUAGUUCUUUUAGCUGCAAUGAUGCUUAGGUCUGCGAUGCCUGUUGGUUGUGCCGAUGCCCUUGCUGCUGUGAUUGACCAUGAUGUCCUUUUGCAGCGGCAGAUGUUGCACGCCAGAUUGGUCUCGAUGGCGUGCAAUAUUUAGUUUUUAUUUAUAUUGUGUGAGUUGUUUCUAUUUCUUUCGUUUUCCAUUGCUCCUAAAAUGUACAUCGGAGUUGGUGUGGCUGUAUUCAGAUAAAUGAACUGCUCUUUAGACAUUAUUUGUAUUUGUUAUGUACCUACUUAAUCAUCGUUAUGUUCAUUGUUGCUACUUUAACCACCGUUUCCUAAUUGUCAUGCUGAGAUCAUGCUGGAUUGUACGAAAUGUGUGUAUGUGGCUCUUUAACCAUCAUGUUCU